UACGUAGGGGGGCAAGCGUUGUCCGGAUUUAUUGGGCGUAAAGAGCGUGUAGGCGGCCAUGUAGGUCAGCUGUGAAAACUCGAGGCUCAACCUCGAGACGUCGGUUGAAACCGUAUGGCUAGAGUCCGGAAGAGGAGAGUGGAAUUCCCGGUGUAGCGGUGAAAUGCGCAGAUAUCGGGAAGAACACCCGUGGCGAAGGCGGCUCUCUGGGACGGUACUGACGCUGAGACGCGAAAGCGUGGGGAGCGAACAGG
rnacentral:rRNA from 1 species